CCUGAUGUCAUCCCAUCUCCUCUUCGGUGUUUGGGUCGGUUGGAUGGAGCAAUACUUGGGCAGGCUCCAGUUCCGGUUCUUGAGUGAACCCACCCCACGGGUCCGCUGGAACUUCCUCCUCCCGUCCUUCCUGGUGGUGCUCUUGCUCCGUAUCCAUCACCUCUGUGGCUCUGACUACCGGUAUCUCGAAAGGUGGUGCAGAACUCUGUAGGGGAGUUGGGGAGUUUGCAGA
rnacentral:lncRNA from 1 species